ensembl:lncRNA
CCCUGGCAACGUUAUUUCACGGUCGGGCCGCGAAAGGGACAAGGCGGUGUGUUUAGUCUGGUGCUGAACUAACGCCCCCGGUUUUUUUAUUUAUUUAUUUAAUGGUGAAAAUGGAAAAUCUUCAUCUACCUCCAAUAAAGGACGUUUCCACCUCCCGAUUUAACCUAAACGUACAAAAUAUAGUAAAAAACAUAUUUCCGAAAAAUUCUGUUUUGUCGAGUCAGCAGGCAAGAAAAGGGGAGCCUGAAAGUGUCAAGAAUAUUCCAGUUAACUCCGAGGAUUCCAGCGGAGUCCAUGACAGUGAAGGGCACUCUCUGCAAAGCACCCGGGUGCUUAAGACGGAGGUUGAGGUUGAUAGAAUGGAGAAGCGGCUGGUCCUUAAGAAGCAGGAAUUCAAGGAUCGCAUGAGGGCCCUGGAGGGCAGCAGAGCUCAUCUUCGACUCCGGCAGCAAGAGAAAUCAGACCUGAAGCUGAAGGCAAUGGAGCAGCAGACUCUGAUCAAGCAGCUGGAAAGGGUGCAAAAUAAACUGCAGAUGGAGCUAGAAGAGCUCACACAGCAGCUGGAGCAUGUGGAAGUCAGGAAAACGCACUUGAAGAACAAGGUGUCCAAGUACAAGAUAUAUGAAGAUUAUUUAUGCAAGGUUUCAGAUCUGCUUCCUGAGAAUUUUCUGGAACAUGGAGUGGACUCGCUGGUCAAGCUUGUCAUACGCCGACAUGAGACCAUGUCCAUUGCCUACAUCGACCUAAUGACGCGACUGGAGACCCUGAUAGAGAAGUUGCAAAGGAAAAAACAUGCUGUGGAGACGCUCAGGCGGGAGCAUGAGGCUUACAGGCUGAUGUCCGAAAUGACACUGUCAGAGCUGCGGACCGAAUUGCACAGGAUUAAAGAGAGCAAUAAAGGGCAGGAGAUGAAACUGCUGAUGCUCCAGGGACAGUCGAGGGAUAGGACCGAGGAGAUGGAGAGACUGUUGACAGCAGUCAGUAAUCUGGGUGAGCAGUGCCAUAUGAAGCGUUUUGGCCCAUUGAAGGACUUGGACCCAUUAACCAAGCUGGAUAUGAUAAAGGCUGUACCCUGAUCUGAGUCUCUGUGAUCACCACAACUCUGCAUUUGACAAAUUACUGAGAAUGAAAGAAGAGAAUGAGAAACACAUAAUAUUUAAAAAAAACACAGGUCUGCAUUAUAUGUUUAUUCAUUAGCGGUACUGUUCUGAAAUGCAAAGAUACUGUGCAAUAGUUUUUUUUUCACAAAAUGUAAUAAAAUGUUCUGUGUGAUCA